GAGACUGGAUGGAUGGCUUACCGCUACUUAUGUUUGCUGUGAGGGAGUCGGUUCAGGAGUCCUUGGGAUUUAGUCCUCAUGAGCUUGUGUUUGCUCAUACCGUUCGUGGGCCUUUGAAGUUGUUAAAAGAACAGUUAACUAGUAAGAGUAGCCCUGCUGUCCCAAUUUUAGACUAUGUCGCUACUUUCCGCGAACGCUUACAAAAGGCUUGCGAAGUAGCCAAAGUCCACCUAGCCAUAGCGCAGUCUAGAAUGAAAAGUCACUUUGACAAGAAAACAGUACAACGCAGUUUUCAACCAGGUGACUCUGUUCUGGUAUUACUUCCUGUUCCUGGCUCAAUUUUUGAUGCAAAGUUUUCUGGUCCGUAUGUCAUUGAGCAAAAACUUAGUGACACAGACUAUGUUGUAAAUACUCCCGAUCGUCGUCGUAAGAAGAGAGUGUGUCAUAUUAACUUGCUAAAGCGUUACGUUGCUCGUAACUCUUUUGGGACCUCUCUUCCCUCACCUACACUGAAACCCAGUGUUACAGUAGCUCCUGUUUGCAGUCCUGAUGUUGAGGAAUUGGUAGCUGAACCUUAUUCACCUGGUGUUCGUUUGAAUAAUUCAGCUAUAUUAAGUAGUUUGGACUCUUAUUUAUCUUAUUUACCUGAAGACCAGCGUAAGGAUGUUAAAAUGUUGUUGUGGAAACAUCCUGCCCUGUUUGCUGACGUGCCUGGUAGAACCAGUAUAUUGUUUCAUGACAUCAAUGUAGGGAAUUCUCUUCCAAUCAAGCAACAUCCAUACAGAGUGAAUCCGGCAAAGCGAGCGAUUAUGAAAUCAGAGUUCUCCAUGCCUACUGGUCCCAAAGUCUGACAACACCUUUCGCUUUUGUACGGAUUAUAGAAAAGUAAACAGUGUGACAAAACCUGACUCCUUUCCCUUACCACGGAUGGAAGACUGCGUGGACAGAGUUGGUGCAUCGAAGUUUGUUUCCAAGUUAGACCUGUUAAAAGGUUAUUGGCAGGUUCCACUAACUGCACGUGCAUGUGAGAUCUCUGCAUUUGUAACACCUGAUGAUUUCCUACAGUAUAACUGUAUGGCUUUUGGGAUGCGAAACGCACCUGCCAC
ensembl:lncRNA